CAGUCGCCGCGGUAACACGAAGGGUGCAAGCGUUACUCGGAAUUACUGGGCGUAAAGCGUGCGUAGGUGGUGGUUUAAGUCCGUUGUGAAAGCCCUGGGCUCAACCUGGGAAUUGCAGUGGAUACUGGGUCACUAGAGUGUGGUAGAGGAUAGUGGAAUUUCCGGUGUAGCAGUGAAAUGCGUAGAGAUCGGAAGGAACAUCUGUGGCGAAGGCGACUAUCUGGGCCAACACUGACACUGAGGCACGAAAGCGUGGGGAGCGAACAGGAUUAGAUACCCGCGUAGUCCCUGUCUCUUAUAC
rnacentral:rRNA from 1 species